UACGUAGGGGGCGAGCGUUGUCCGGAAUUACUGGGCGUAAAGGGAGCGUAGGCGGCCGAUUAAGUUGGAUGUGAAAUCCCCGGGCUUAACUUGGGUGGUGCAUCCAAUACUGGUUGGCUAGAGUACAGGAGAGGAAAGCGGAAUUCCUAGUGUAGCGGUGAAAUGCAUAGAUAUUAGGAGGAACAUCGGUGGCGAAGGCGGCUUUCUGGACUGACACUGACGCUGAGGCUCGAAAGCGUGGGGAGCAAACAGG
rnacentral:rRNA from 1 species